GACGAACGCUGGCGGCGUGCUUAACACAUGCAAGUCGAACGGAAAGGCCCUGCUUUUGUGGGGUGCUCGAGUGGCGAACGGGUGAGUAACACGUGAGUAUCCUGCCCUUGACUUUGGGAUAACUUCAGGAAACUGGGGCUAAUACCGGAUAGGAGCUCCUGCUGCAUGGUGGGGGUUGGAAAGUUUCGGCGGUUGUGGAUGGACUCGCGGGUUAUCAGCUUGUUUGUGGGGUAGUGGCUUACCAAGGCUUUGACGGGUAGCCGGCCUGAGAGGGUUACCGGCCACAUGGGGACUGAGAUACGGACCAGACUCCUACGGGAGGCAGCAGUGGGGAAUAUUGCAGAAUGGGCGGAAGUCUGAUGCAGCAACGCCGCGUGCGGGAUGACGGCCUUCGGGUUGUAAACCGCUUUCGCCUGUGACGAAGCGUGAGUGACGGUAAUGGGUAAAGAAGCACCGGCUAACUACGUG
rnacentral:rRNA from 1 species